AUUGAACGCUGGCGGCAGGCCUAACACAUGCAAGUCGAGCGGAUGAAGGGAGCUUGCUCCUGGAUUCAGCGGCGGACGGGUGAGUAAUGCCUAGGAAUCUGCCUGGUAGUGGGGGAUAACGUCCGGAAACGGGCGCUAAUACCGCAUACGUCCUGAGGGAGAAAGUGGGGGAUCUUCGGACCUCACGCUAUCAGAUGAGCCUAGGUCGGAUUAGCUAGUUGGUGGGGUAAAGGCCUACCAAGGCGACGAUCCGUAACUGGUCUGAGAGGAUGAUCAGCCACACUGGAACUGAGACACGGUCCAGACUCCUACGGGAGGCAGCAGCGGGGAAUAUUGGACAAUGGGCGAAAGCCUGAUCCAGCCAUGCCGCGUGUGUGAAGAAGGUCUUCGGAUUGUAAAGCACUUUAAGUUGGGAGGAAGGGCAGUAAGUUAAUACCUUGCUGUUUUGACGUUACCAACAGAGUAAGCACCGGCUAACUUCGUG
rnacentral:rRNA from 1 species